UACGAAGGGGGCUAGCGUUGCUCGGAAUCACUGGGCGUAAAGGGUGCGUAGGCGGGUUUUUAAGUCCGGGGUGAAAUCCUGGAGCUCAACUCCAGAACUGCCUUUGAUACUGAAGAUCUCGAGUCCGGGAGAGGUGAGUGGAACUGCGAGUGUAGAGGUGAAAUUCGUAGAUAUUCGCAAGAACACCAGUGGCGAAGGCGGCUCACUGGCCCGGUACUGACGCUGAGGCACGAAAGCGUGGGGAGCAAACAGG
rnacentral:rRNA from 1 species